rnacentral:rRNA from 1 species
CCUACGGGAGGCAGCAGUGGGGAAUUUUGGACAAUGGGCGCAAGCCUGAUCCAGCCAUGCCGCGUGAGUGAAGAAGGCCUUCGGGUUGUAAAGCUCUUUCGGCAGGAACGAAAUGGUUCGUGCUAAUACCACGGACUGAUGACGGUACCUGAAGAAGAAGCACCGGCUAACUACGUGCCAGCAGCCGCGGUAAUACGUAGGGUGCAGGCGUUAAUCGGAAUUACUGGGCGUAAAGCGUGCGCAGGCGGUUUCUUAAGUCAGAUGUGAAAGCCCCGGGCUUAACCUGGGAACUGCGUUUGAAACUGGGAGACUUGAGUGUGGCAGAGGGGGGUGGAAUUCCACGUGUAGCAGUGAAAUGCGUAGAUAUGUGGAGGAACACCGAUGGCGAAGGCAGCCCCCUGGGCUAACACUGACGCUCAUGCACGAAAGCGUGGGGAGCAAACAGGAUUAGAUACCCUGGUAGUCCACGCCCUAAACUAUGUCAACUGGUUGUCGGGAGAUUAACUCUCUUGGUAACGAAGCUAACGCGUGAAGUUGACCGCCUGGGGAGUACGGCCGCAAGGUUAAAACUCAAAGGAAUUGACGG